AAGGGAGGAGGAGGUGUUUGGAAGAAUUUUGAUAUAAGAAAGAAGAGCUUCAUCUCUUUAGCACACGCCAUCUCUCCUUCUUUUAUUUUUGUCACUCCAACCAGAUCUCUAAUGCCCCAAACCCUUCUUAACACCUUAAAAUAUCAAAUCCCAUUGGAUCUUGGGCAUCCAAAACAAAAAGAAUGGAUGAGAUGCAUUGAGAUAAGGGAAGAAAAAAGGAGAGAUGUCUCACGCCAACAAUUAGCACAUGUCCCAACUUUCUCAAUUUUUUUUUGUUUCAUAAAAAAAACAUUUCAUGCCCUCAUUAGAGAGAUUUUUAUCUUAUUUUAAAUCAAAUUCAAAUAAAAAAAAAUUUUGAUGAAAAAAAGUUCCAGAUAAAGUGGGGCGCCAAUUUUUUUUUAUGAAAAAAAGUUCCAGAU
rnacentral:lncRNA from 1 species